rnacentral:lncRNA from 1 species
CUCUUUGAGCCUCACAAGUUCCAUCAUUAAAAGAAGAAUGAUAAUCCUUUGCAGGGUUGUUGUGGGAACUAAAUUAGCUAAUGUGAAGGAAGAUCCUGAUUUCAAAUAGGCCCUUAGUACAUGGUGGCAAUGAUGACUCUCCUCAUUCUCUCACUUUUUCUUCCUUCCAGCUUUCCUUCACCUCCUGAGUCUCUUCUUCAGGAAGGACCAUGAACCAUUGCAGCCCAUGAGAGCCAGCUGUGGAGGGAGACAUCCUUGCUCCUUCUUUUCCCUGCUUAUCCUCAGCUACAAUCUGGUGACUAAAUGGCUUCUCCUUCCAUCAGCAGGGGGACAGUGAAACCAGGCACUGUGUUGGUCACUCUGGAUAACCCUUAACCAAUGAUGAUUCCAUUGGUAAGGACAAAGCAGAGUGAAAUAUCUGAUGACGUAAAUCUCUUUUGGAACCUGAAGAAAGUUACCAUUUUAGACCUCAAGGAUCCAAUGAUCUGGGAAUACAGUUCAUCUGAGGAUGAGCAUUACAGCUAUUUACAAGAAAACUCAUCUGGAAGCAGUGUGGAAGAUCAAUCAGAGCAAUAUCAGACCCAACAAGGGCCACGGUUGAGAAACCAGCACAAUAAUAGAGAGGUGAUGAGGGCCUGAGCUGCAUAGGGAGCCCUGAGCAUGGGGGAAGGAAUUUAGAAAAACAUGAAGGAGACGGGUAUCAAGAGAAAGUGAGGAAAUCAGAGAAAGAAAGAACUCUAUGUGGAUUCUUAGGUUCCUCAAGACUGGGAUUUUGCCUAUUAACUAAGAUAGGGAAUCAUGGAAGAGUAGGGAAAAGUCAUGCUUGUGAUUUGGGACAUACUACAUGUUUUAUGUUAGGGGACAUUGAGAAGGAAAUGCCUAUCUAGUACAGGAGCUUGUGUUUUAUGUCAUAUACCACUCUGAGUAAAUGGGAGCUUAAAGAGAGUUAAGUACAAGAUAGGGGUUAAGAAAGCUGUUUCUGUAGAUCUCUCGACAG